GAUGAACGCUGGCGGCGUGCUUAACACAUGCAAGUCGAACGGAAAGGCCCAAGCUUGCUUGGGUACUCGAGUGGCGAACGGGUGAGUAACACGUGGGUGAUCUGCCCUGCACUUCGGGAUAAGCCUGGGAAACUGGGUCUAAUACCGGAUAGGACGAUGGUUUGGAUGCCAUUGUGGAAAGUUUUUUCGGUGUGGGAUGAGCUCGCGGCCUAUCAGCUUGUUGGUGGGGUAAUGGCCUACCAAGGCGUCGACGGGUAGCCGGCCUGAGAGGGUGUACGGCCACAUUGGGACUGAGAUACGGCCCAGACUCCUACGGGAGGCAGCAGUGGGGAAUAUUGCACAAUGGGCGCAAGCCUGACGCAGCGACGCCGCGUGGGGGAUGACGGCCUUCGGGUUGUAAACUCCUUUCGCUAGGGACGAAGCGUUUUUGUGACGGUACCUGGAGAAGAAGCACCGGCUAACUACGUG
rnacentral:rRNA from 1 species